rnacentral:rRNA from 1 species
GACGAACGCUGGCGGCGUGCUUAACACAUGCAAGUCGAACGGAAAGGCCCUUCUUUUGUGGGGUGCUCGAGUGGCGAACGGGUGAGUAACACGUGAGUAACCUGCCCUUGACUUUGGGAUAACUUCAGGAAACUGGGGCUAAUACCGGAUAGGAGCUCCUGCUGCAUGGUGGGGGUUGGAAAGUUUCGGCGGUUGGGGUUGGAUUCGCGGCUUAUCAUCUUGUUGGUGGGGUAGUGGCUUACCAAGGCUUUGACGGGUAGCCGGCCUGAGGGGGUGACCGGCCACAAUGGGACUGAGAUACGGCCCAGACUCCUACGGGAGGCAGCAGUGGGGAAUAUUGCACAAUGGGCGGAAGCCUGAUGCAGCAACGCCGCGUGCGGGAUGAAGGCCUUCGGGUUGUAAACCGCUUUCGCCUGUGACGAAGCGUGAGUGACGGUAAUGGGUAAAGAAGCACCGGCUAACUACGUG